rnacentral:rRNA from 1 species
CAGUCGCCACGGGAAUACGUAGGGUGCAAGCGUUAAUCGGAAUUACUGGGCGUAAAGCGUGCGCAGGCGGUUUGUUAAGACAGAUGUGAAAUCCCCGGGCUCAACCUGGGAACUGCAUUUGUGACUGGCAAGCUAGAGUCUGGCAGAGGGGGGUGGAAUUCCGCGUGUAGCAGUGAAAUGCGUAGAUAUGCGGAGGAACACCGAUGGCGAAGGCAGCCCCCUGGGCCAACACUGACGCUCAUGCACGAAAGCGUGGGGAGCAAACAGGAUUAGAUACCCCCGUAGUCCCUGUCUCUUAUAC